GGGGAUAACAUACCUCCCUAAUCUAAGAACAAGGAUUUGUCUUUCUUUUCUUUUGCAUUGGGACUUUUGUCCUCUUUCUUUCUUUUUCUCUCUUUUUUUAGAGAUCAGCCAUCCCUUUUAAUUCAAUGACAACAGUAGGGCGUAUCAACUGGGAUAACUAGGGCUUUAUUGGAUAAGUAGAAUAUGACAUUGAAUAUUUUUGGGUGUCUUCUCCCAGUGUAGGAGUAGAACAUUUUCUAAGUGGACGUAGAAUGUGGGUGGGUGAAUGAAGGAAUGCGUACUCCUAGGGUAGGAGCAGCAUAGGUGCGUGUCUCCAGGAAAGAAACAACACAGUGUGUAGUGCGUAUAUGUGGG
rnacentral:lncRNA from 1 species